GAUGUGGCCAGAGUGUGAAGGGGGGCUCCAGACAUGCAAGAGUUUCAGUGACCUGCCAAACGUCUGGUGAGCUUAAUGAAUAUUUAGUUAUUCUAUGAGACAAGCCAUCUGCAUGCUUUGGAUAUCAAUGGCAAGGAGGUCUGGCAGGAUGUGCGAGAGGUGUUUCCCCUCCCCCUGCCUCCUUGGGCAGAAGAAGGAAUCGAAGCAGUCUCUUCAGUCUUGAAUAAGACAGGUGAGGGAAUGGCUUAUGUGCGGAUCCUGUGAAGUCUUCACUGCCGAGCUGCCCAACGCCAUCCAGCCCCGGGUUCUCAUGACCUUGGAUGCAAGUGUGUUAAGUUCAGUUUUUGUCUCUGUUGUUUCUUUGAACCUUUCCUCAUUUUCAGGAAGAAUUACAGAGACAACAGAUGGAUUUCACAAAAAUAUUACUUAAACUAGAAUAAUGCAUAAUAAAAUCUUAGGAAAAUGAAAUUAAAGAAAACACCCUGCUAUGCAUCUGUGUGGUGGACAGACGUUUGGCUUGUCCUUUCCCUUAAGGUUUGCUAAAACUUAUUUCUAUGAGUGUUUUGCCACUCAAAUUCAAAUUCCAUAAGUGACAAAAAUUGCAGGAAAUUAAUCUACCUGGGGUGCACUGUCCAUCCCCUUCCCCUAGUGAAACCCACAUGCCCAUGAGGGCUCUGCCUUUUGGAGUUGUGCCUGAGGCCUCAUUUUCAUCCCUCUGUGUUGCUCAGGCAGUGCAAAGCAAGGGUAGAAGAGCUUUCCUUCAUGGGAGGAAAUCCCCUCAGGUAGCAUAAAGCUGGUAUUGUGAAUGUGACUCUGUACCACCCACUCGCUGCUUUUGCACAUUAAAUGUUUUGGCAGUGGGGUGUGCUGGGCAGAACAGCUAGUGCUCCUCUUGCUUCUGGGCCAGGAAAACAUUAGCUACUGGACUGCUGCUCCGUGUGCAAUGGAAAGCAUUUGAGGGCUUGGUAGAGCAUCUCAUGGCUGCAGAGCCUCCUGAAAACCAUCUUUCCCUUCCUCCUUUUGCAUACUCUGAGUGUAAGCGGGAGCGACAAUUCAGCCCUUUUACCUUCCAUAGGAUGUGGAAAGGAAAACAAAAACAUUUUUAGCCUUUUGAUUGAUAUCUUCACUCUAUUUCUCCAUCCCUGCUCUCGUCUCCCCCAUAAUUGUGUCAAAGGUUUGUCUGGAGUAGAUGUGGUUAAAAAACUGGAGAAGGAAAUAUUCUGCUUUGGCACAGCUUGCAUCAAAAAAAGGCCCUUGCAAAAUGGAUGUCAGCUCAUGCUUUGUGACUUUAUUUACAAAUACGGUUCAGGAGCAGAAACUGAAUAGAGAAAGCAUUUUGAUAAAUCUGUUGAAAUAGUCAUUCUUUGAGACAGCUGGCUUUGAAUUUUCCAACUCUCUUUUCCAAAUGCAAUAACUUAUGAGCUGACUUUGUUUUAUUUUCUGAUUAUUUAAAUUGUGCUUCUUAACAUAUACUGACUUCAAAAACUGUAUCAAAUCACACUGUAUGUUACCCGAAGUAACUGUUAUUGGAGAAUGAAGGUAGACAUGUAGCAGAAAUGUGUGCAUUAUUUGGAGACUGUUAAUACAGGCAGACUUUUUUAUUUUAUUUAUUGCUAAAAUAACAGGCACCUAUACCUCCGAUGGCUGCCCUUCCAUUCUUUUUGUCCUCAGAUUGCACAGCUGGCCUGAGCUGAUAUAAACAUUAUUCUGAGUAGCACAAAUAAAGCUAUAAAUCCCCAGGUCAGAAUUUUAAUGAGUCUAACAUCUCCACACUUAAAAAUGUGCACCCAUUUGCUCCAAAUUUUUGAAAGAAGAAAGUAUGAAUGUAAGUGUUUAUAUAACUCACAGUUCCCCACUCACUGAAGCUGCACAGAGGCCCCAAUGAAAGUUAUCAUUGAACAAGAUUUUUAGCCCUCCUAAGCACACUAACAUGACAACUUAGGUUGCUAAGAAAGCCUAAAUGCUUCUUAAAUAAAACCAAAAGGAAGCUGUAGCACCUCUGCUUAACAAUAGCAAACAGAAAACAGUGAGAGCACUUGAUGUUGGAAAUUUAAUUUUCGUCACCAUGUUUUUAUCUGCGCUUAGCUCCUACUCUUAGCUGAUAAGGAAUAACUAAUCAUGAUUUAAGCAUUUCUUCAGACCUAGCAACCUGCUGAACAGCUUCUUAAUGUGCCUAUCAAUCACUUGGAGAUAAGAAUAGUUUGCACUCAUAAUAGCUAGUUGUAAAAAUAAAUAGAAGUUACUAUAACUAGUUCAAUCAACAAUGGGAUCUUUGAGGUCAGAGUGGAAAUAAUCAAACAGUAAGCAUGAAUAGGCUGUAAUUUUUCUGAUUAACAAAUGUUUUGCUUGUCAUGUGAUCUUGAGAGCUGCUCUUAGCUUCCUAGAGGACUAAAAUACAUUCCAGAAUGUAUGUAUUUACAUUAGGGGUUAAACAAACACAUGCACAUACUGGUUACUUUCUUUAGCUAUCUGUGCAUAUCAAGGUUUUCUUUUUAAAAGUGUCUUCAUCCUAAAGUUAAUUUCUCAACAGGCCACUCCACAGAGCAUCCAGGAUAAAAAGGGGAAAUCUAACAGUGGGCAGAAACUACUACCGAAUACAAGCUACAAAUUACUGUGACAUACAGAACAAACCUAUUACUCACAUCUCUCUGCUAUGUUUGAAAAUAUAACAGCAAACAGGAACAUACUACAUCUCAGCACUAGUUGCUGAUCAAAAUAGCAGUGCCCAUAUAUAACUACUAGCUGUGUGAGAGGAAUAAGAACACUAUAUAUAUCUCUAUAUAUCUAUGUAUGUCUAUAUAUACAUCUAAACCUAUAACAACCACUAUCUGAAGACUGCAGAGACAGACUUUAUGAAUCUAAUAUAGGUACUCUGAGCACCUUCUGGAGGCACAUGUCUUUGCCAAUGAUUAUAUAAAAAUCAUAAGCCCCCAACUUCAGGUAUUUUCAAUUGCAUCUCUGUAUCUAACAUUGUAAGCAUAAGGGAUGUGCAUAUAGCCUUCUUCUGUCCUCAAAUGUUGCCUGUGCAAAAAUACAAGAUCUUCCACUGUGUCCUGUAAUGACCAGUGCAGUGAUUUCAGACAAAGCUAAUUAUGUCGGGGCUCACACACUGUACUCAUGUUCCUAUGGUAACAUAUACAACCUGGAAAUAUCUGUAUUUUUAAAAGAUACAGAAUCAGAGAGUCACUGAGGUGGGAAGGGACACUGGGAGGUCUCUUGUCCUACCUCCAGCCCAAAGCAAGGUUAACAGUGGGAAACUGCGAAGAUGCCACUGAGGACAAACAUAAAUAUAAAAGAUUAGCUCUAAAAAAGUGUGUCUGUUGGAAAACAUACUGAGUAAACUUAUCACUAUUUAUAUAAAACCAUGCAGGUACCCAGUAAUAUAGUUCUAAAAAAGUCUUUACCUACUAUAAAUAGAGCUCAGGUCCCUAACUGCUUCUAAGAUUUUCAAUGGCUUACUUUGAAAUAUUGUAUUAUUUUGAAAACAUUUCUGUUUGUUUUUGAGACUUCAGUAAGGGGUUGUUUGAGGUAUCAGUAAUGGCUGCAAAGUAAUAGUUCUUAUUUCAGUGCAACAGCCGAGCAUUUGUGACAUUUAAAAUUGUAUGAGUUGCAAGUUUAAAAGUUUAGAGCCUUCCUGUAAGUGCUGAUAAUAAGGAAAUGGAUUAAAGAAGCAAAAUAUAGAA